rnacentral:rRNA from 1 species
UACGUAGGUGGCAAGCGUUGUCCGGAAUUAUUGGGCGUAAAGCGCGCGCAGGCGGCCUUUUAAGUCUGAUGUGAAAGCCCACGGCUUAACCGUGGAGGUGCAUUGGAAACUGGAAGGCUUGAGGAUAUAAGAGGAAAGCGGAAUUCCACGUGUAGCGGUGAAAUGCGUAGAGAUGUGGAGGAACACCAGUGGCGAAGGCGGCUUUCUAGUAUAUAACUGACGCUGAGGCGCGAAAGCGUGGGGAGCAAACAGG